CAACCCUCAGGCCCUGCCUGGCGUUGGAGGACUGCGCACGCAGCCUCCCAAAGCAAGCGGCGGCGGCGCCCCAAGACCGAACGCAGUAGUUUUCUCUCGUUCUGGGCCUGGGACGUCGUCCUGCCGGAAAACCCCCAACUUUUCAAUGG
rnacentral:misc_RNA from 1 species